GGACAGGCAUUUACUGACUGGGCUCCUACUGGUCCCCAGAAGUCAGUGCGGAAUUGCUGAGAGGAUAUCACACACAGCGAAGAAAGUGCUGGUCCUGCAGCCGCAGCUUUGGGAUCCGGGGAAGGAGCAGAGGCUUUUUUAGCUCAGCCUCUGGAAACCUGGGCAACAGAGGAGGUGGCUGUAGGUGUUGGGAAGCACUUGGGGUCAGCUUUGGUCAUUGAUGCCCCGCGAAACUGGGUCAAGUCACGGAAUGUCUAAAGGGUGACGCUACCAGAUGGAGUUGGCCUCGUUGUUAACCUCCUGGAUGCACCCUGAGACCACCACCUGGGUGCUGCUGCCUCCCUGCAUCAAAUACUUCCUGUGAGACAGAGAUUCCCAUCUCAGCUGGAGGAGCCCAUGUCCACAGCAUUUCAGCAGUGGCAGAUGGAACUGAACUUCUGUGGACCCCCAAACUGAAGAAAUGCCUGUAUUGAUUCUCCCAGCCCCAAGCAGCUACAGGCAUGGUUUUGCCUGGAAGGAAUGUGAGCCAAGUGCUGUGAUUCACACUUGUCCAGUCUGAUUUGAGUCUGAAUCAUCUCUCUCCCCUUCUCACUAGGAAAUGAUGUGGCGAACAUCAGUCUGUCAUAACUGGAGACUUCUUUCCUGUACCACAUGCACUUUGAAGUCAUUGCACACAAUCUUAGAUUUUGGUCAUUUGUGGCGUGGUCUUAAAGGCAGAUGAGGUUGUCACAACCUCAACCAGCUUCUCCACCAACACAGACUUGUGGUGAGCUCUUUUCCUUUGGGACUGAAGGGCUGGGUAGUGGCCAAGUGUGAGGAUCUCUGCUCUUCUUUCCCCCCAGAUCUCCAUCUCAUGGCUUCACUUCUGUGUCCUGCUCCAUCCCCACCACCUCACAAGAUCCUGCGUCCUACACAGCCUCCAUUCACUGGUCCCCUCAGUUAAUGGGGUGCCCUGUCCUUCCUGCUGGGGUUAGUGUUCCCCCUGCACUGCCAGGAGGGGCUUCCCAGAGGUGCCUGGCUGGGCUGGGGGGAUUAGGGAGUCUUUGUUUCAAAAGCAUUUUAAGUGGUGAGAAGAAAAACAACCUGCAGGUCAGGCUGCAGGCAGUUCAGGCUGAAGGUACAAGACAGGAGGGAAAUUUUUCAUGACAGAGGUGUGCUCCUGGCCUGAGGGGAGGGAAGAGGCUAUUGUGGCUGGAGUCAAUGGAAUUACUGCUGGCAGGAGCAUUGAACAGAGGAAAAAGAGAGCAGAUAGUGAGCAAGCAAAAUGGGAUUUUAACCGUCUGCCCAGGCUUGCAGCUAAUUUGUCUGGCAGUUAGAAGAGAGUAGCAAAUCAACAAGGAAAAGGGAAAGUUUUGCACUGAAGUCUUUGCCUGGGAGCUCUGUGUGCAGCAUCUGGGGCAGUUGGGCAUCAGUUCCUUGAGUUCAUUGACAAACCCGAGCCUCAGCAGGUUUGGGGAGCUGGCUGGGGACAGGGUUUGGGCAGGAGAAAAGCCUUUCACCCGGCAGCUAGGAGGCAGAACUUCCCAGCGUGGGGAGAGUUUGGGGUGAUCUACGGGUUCAGGGGGAGGGAAAUAAUGUGGCAAUGCACAAAACACUCCUGCUGCAGUGCCCCUGUCCAGGUUAAGUUUUCCUUUGAGUUUCUGUUCAUUCUUGUGAACCUGAGAUAGAUUUGUGCCCUGCUUGAAAUUGAAGGCAGGUAGAACAGGUUCACCAAGAGAGUUUUUUUAACAAAUGCUGUAGUUCAGUCACAAUUAUGAAGCCCUUUUGGGUUUCUCUAGUAUUUAAUAAUGCUUUAUAAAGCCAAAUAAUUAAAUAUUAUUAACUAACCCCAUGACCCACACUUUGCUCUUUGUGUGGCCUCCUCUUAGGUUUGGGUUCUGGCCAUGAGGUAUGGCUCUGGGGUAGAAAUUUAAGGAACAUUUUGUUCCAGGAAGAGAGAAAAUGAAAUAUUUAUUCACCACAAAUACUGAGGUUUGUCUUGAGUAGAAAAGCACCAAAGUUAACAGAAGUGAAAUCUCCAAAACUCCAUACCAAAAUUUGUCCCCCAUGCAUUCUAGUAUCUGAAGUCCUUUGUAAUCUUUUCUGUUUUCUUUCAAAUUUAAACAAAAUUAUGCUUCUAUUAGGAAUAUUAUCUUUGAUAAACAAACAACAAAAAAAAGUGUUUUUUUCUCCCUUACCCUUUUUUCUGUAGGAAUAAAAAUAAACUUAAAAAUAUUACAUCAAAAUGAACUUGGGGAAGAAAAUCUGGACUAGUUGUAGUGGGAAAAAAACCCCAAACUUUCCCACAAAGCUGAAAAAUAGUUCAAAAGUUUCUUUCUCUAGAAUUUUUCCCUGCUGUUCCACAGUUCUUGCAUGUGCUUUUACCUAUAAUUUUUGAGAAUGAAUGAUUUUGUCUGGACCUUACUGUGCAGUUGCCUACAAAUACGUAAGUGACUCAAAGAGUUAGUUCUCAGGAAGAGUUUAUUUGCUUUGGUUAUCCUUUUUCUGCAUCUUGAAUAAAUGGAAUAGCUCAGGAAGGGUGUUUAAUUGUGGCUUCUUUGACCCCAGCCACUGCCUGGUGUCCUGGGCUGGUUUUUGUGUGGCUGCUGGUCCUGAGCAGUGUGGUGGCCCCACUCCUGCAUGUGUGUGACCCUCCAGGUGGGCAGUUUGCUCUCAUCGCUGUUCUCCACCAGAUGUUCCACCCUAAGAGUGACACCCAUGAGGGAAACGUCCCAGGAGGAGAGGAUUUCCCACACACUCCUGUGCUGUCGUCACCUCAUGCAAACGUGCUGAGCUCUUACAUAGCUCUCCUUGGUGCUGCCAAGAAAUAGGACAAGAGGCAAUGAGCAGAAAAUGAUGCACAGGGAAUUCCAUCUGAACAGGAGGAAGAACUUCUUCACUGUGUGAGCAACUGGGCACUGGAACAGGUUGCCCAGAGAGUGUGUGGAGUCUCCCUCACUGGAGAUAUCUAGGAACUGUCUGGUUGUAAUCCUGUGCUCUGGGAUGAUUCUGCUUGGGCAGGGAGGUAGGACCAGAUGGCCACUGUGGACCCUUCCAUCCUGUCCCAUUCCAUGAUUCUGUGGGCAAUGUGAUUCACCUUCUAGUGGCCAAGCCUUCCCCCUGCACAGAGACCUGUGGUGGGAGGCUGUCUCAAGAGUCUUUUUAGGGUCUCCACCUGGGAAUUUGGAGCAUGGAUGGAUUCAGACAUGGAUACACGGAGGCUGGGAAUGGGCUCAAAUGUUGUCAGGGCAGUGCUGGUCCUACAGCCAAGGAAGUACCUGAGCAUUUGGUGGUUGAUGAGUGAUGGGGUAGUUCAGGGCCAUCCUAAGAGCACCAUCAGCAGGUUUUGUGUCGUUGAAGAAUCCCCCAGGGGCCACGCUGGCUCUCAGGCUGGAGGGUGCCUUGGAUUGUUCACUGUGGGAUUUCUAGGGAGAGAAAGCAGAGAAGCCUUUGCUGUCAGGGCUCCCACUCCCUCUUUUCCCCUGCACAUUCCAGGGGGGCUGAGAAACAGAUGACUGCUUCACAGGUAAUUGGAGGGCUCUGGAAAUAGGGAUGAUCCAAAUGCAACUGUUCUACACAGAGCAGGACAAAGCCACUGGUCUCUCAGCAUGGCUACAUUAGAGAUCAUGAAUCUUCCACCCAGGUAUCCCCAUACUGCCUGUGGUUUACCAGAAGAUAGAUUUGUUUUGGGGGAAGAAAACACACAUUUUUCUAACUUAUGUGAUUGCCAAGUGUAGCUUGGACACGUGGGUACCGCAGAUGCAAUGCCUGCCUGGGUGCAUGGGGGACGUAAAACAGAGGCUGGCUGUGGGUGCACAGCCCCAUUCCUCUGCAGCCAAGCAAGUUCACCUGUGCUAUAAAGUGAUUUGUGCGUACAACAUCUCUAGAGGAGGCUGCAGCUCCAGUGUAAAACGGUUCAGGAGCUGGAGGUUGAACUCUCUCUACGUACUCAGGAUGAACUGAUGCAGAAGGCAGCAUAACUGACACUUGCUUAGUAAAUGUGAUUUAUUCCAUUCUCAUCACCUCACUUUAAAGAGAGUUCUGGAUCACACUUGUUUGGUAGCCACCUUUUUUACUGUCUUCCACUUUUUAAUAAUAGUUCUGGGCCAAAGAGCACCCUGAGUGAGAAAGCAUAUGUGGGAAUCAGAGUCUGUGUGUUCUGGCCUUCCUUAUUCCAUGAAAACACAGCUUCCUGUCUGUGUGCUCCUGCCCACCUCUGUCCUGCUGUUUUAUCCAUCUGUCAAUGCUAUUUUGACAUCUGGGUCUGAACGCGCUGAAGCUGAGAGCAGUUUGAAUGGUCCCAUCAGCUUUAAAGUAACUACUCACCAGCUGGAGUCUGAGCCAGCCCACAGCCCCAGAAGGGGCCAGCGCUUCUUCCUCUGUGUGUAAAAUAACAUGAGAUCAGGGCCUGGGACUAUAAACACUUAAAGCAGUUGGCUCUUCGUAGCCCAUUGUCCAGAUGAGAUGUUUCCUCCUUUGCUAGAUCUGAUUCCAGGUGCAGACAGAUCCAGAUCCAGACAGACUGGUGUGUUUUCUUUUUCAGCUAUUUUCAGCUGUUAAGAAUAUUUUAAAAAAUCCCAACGAAAUAAACAAAAAACCAACCCCUCUCCAAAACAACAACAAAAGACAACCAAACGAGCAGGAGAGAGUGAGUGGUAAAUAAGGGCUGUUUGAUGUGACUGAGAAAAGCUGUUCCUCUUUUGUGCUCCACAACCCUUUUCCCUCCCAAACCCAUUCUUGCCAGAUCACGAUACAUUAAAAUCCUUGCAUCAACAUGAAAAUCCUACCAGUUAAUAUUUGCAAAGCUGAAGGUUUCCAUCUCCCCCAGGUGGGCAACUUUCUUUGCGCAGACUGGAGAGAUCUUUAGUGAUUCCCUUCUUGGAUAUCUGUCCUGCUGCCCUCUCCAGUGAGUGGAAAAGUCAGAUCCUCUGGCUGAAAUCAACCACCUCCCUUCAGAUGCUUGCUUGAUUUAAAUGUGCAUGUCAGGAGAAAUAUGAAUUUUCCAUUCUUUCUCCCUUGGCUCUCACAAGGUGAAUGAAUGGUCCCAGCUGUGCCUUUCAUUUGCUUUCCUCCCUGAACAUCAGUGUCUGGAGAAAGGUACCUUUCUCCAAGGCUGUUUCACCCUUUCUCACCUGCUCUCUGUCCUUCAGCCGGCACCAACAUUCCCAUUAUCCUCGUUUGGCAGAAUGGAAACUGAGGCAGUUAGCUGAAACAGCACCGGUCUGUGUCAGAUCAGGUCUGGACCCACAAUUCCCUGCCUGAGCCCUGGAGAGGGGAAGAAGAGCCACAAAUAUCUGCAGGAAAAAUAAAGCAUGAACAAAACCGCAUGCAGGCACAAGAAAGGGAAUGAGCAAUGGUGCCAUUAUUCCACUAGCAAAUGCUUAAAGUAAAGGGCUGAAGACUCUUCUCUAAAAUGUUGAGUGGAUUUUUAGUUGAAAAAGGAAAGUAGGAGGAUGACAGGACCCGGUCAAAGUCACCUACUUGCCUCUGUGGAAAAAGCCUUUCAUUGUGCUCUGCCCUUGGAAAUACUUUCACACAAGCUGCAGAGUUAAAGACUUCAAGUUUUACUCUAGCGGGAUUUAUGAAGGGAUCUACCACUGCAUUGGUGGUACUUUUCCAUCUGUGUCCCCGGGACAGGGACACAUAGCUACGCCUGAAGCUGUGAGCUGGUCGUAAAAGUUCCCCCCGGCUUGUCCAGCCCACCCUUGAGCAGUGGCUUCCUUCUCUGCUCUGGGCCAGGGGCUCCUUGGGCAGGCAUUUGGCUCAGAGGUGACUCUCGGGAGCAAUGGGUGA